AUGGCCGGCGGCGUUGAUCGCCUGUCCGGCCUCCCCGACGAGCUCCUCGUGCGCGUCCUCCACUUCGUCCCAGGCAAGCAGGCGGCCGCCACGACCGCUCUCUCGCGGCGAUGGCGCUCGCCGCUCUGGCGGUCCUCAGGCGCCGUAAACCUAGAGACGUAUGUCGAGGACUGGGGCUACUACAUGUCCAUGUGCAACGAUAAGAGUGGAAGAUGGGACGACCGCCUCUUCUUGUCCCGGCGCGACGCCUUCAUGUCCGCGGCCGAGGCGACGUUCGACGCCGCCGACGUCCCCGUCACGAGGCUCACCCUUCGUGUCACCGGUCACACCUGCAUUGACUUGUUCCUGAACGGUCACUGGGAUGUGAAGUUGCCGUCGCCGUGGUCUCCGGACCAUGGCGUGCUCGCCAAGCUGCUCUCCCACCAGGUGGCGCGCCGCGUCGAGGAGCUCCGGCUCGACGCAUACAACGUCUACUCGGACGACCAGACCAGUAGUCUCAGCUCCCUCGGCCUCUACGUGCUCAACCUAGGCUCCGUGCAGUCGGAGAACCUCCGCGUGCUGGACCUCACCAACUGCUGCGAACUCGUUCCGCCGGCCUCCGCGGUUGUGUUCCCGCGCCUUUCGUCGCUGCGGCUGCACCAUGGCACCGUGCGGCUCGACGCCCUCUAG
rnacentral:rRNA from 1 species